GUUAGCUGGUUUUGCUGUGAAAAGAGAUGGGGUUGGGGUUUGUUGGCUGUACUGUGAAGAAAAAUGAGUCAGUGCUGUGAGGAGAUACCCAUGAGAAAUCACCAAGAAGGAUGUUUAAGCUGUAGAGAAAUUCGGCAUGUCAAACUGGAAAUCUGGAAGCCACUAUUUCUCACUUAAAGAUUGUGGAACCCAAAACUGUCCCCAGCACUGGAGGUGAGGCUGCCUCAGCUCAGCUCAGAGCAGGACAAUCUCCUCACUUGCCCAGCUGGCAAUGCUGUGCCUGAUGCCCCCAGGACAGGGUUGGCCCUCCUGGCUCUCACGGCACUGCUGGCUCAUGUUCAUUGGAGCUUCACUGAUUUAUACAUCUUAGGAUGUGACCUAGCAUUUAUGAACUUUGAAUAACAUUCCUUUGUGUGGUAAAUUUCUGUUUCAAAAUACCACACAGGAAGCAGCACUAUUUUGCAGCUCAAAUGUAAUGUGAUACAUAACAGAACUAUGCCAUUUCCUAUUUGCUUGCUCUG